UGGGGAAUAUUGGACAAUGGGGGAAACCCUGAUCCAGCCAUGCCGCGUGUGUGAUGAAGGCCUUAGGGUUGUAAAGCACUUUUGUCAGGGAAGAUGAUGACGGUACCUGAAGAAUAAGCACCGGCUAACUUCGUGCCAGCAGCCGCGGUAAUACGAAGGGUGCUAGCGUUGUUCGGAAUUACUGGGCGUAAAGCGCGCGUAGGCGGCGUCGCAAGUCAGAGGUGAAAUCCCAGGGCUCAACCCUGGAAUUGCCUUUGAAACUGCGAUGCUAGAGUGUCGGAGGGGAUAGCGGAAUUGCUAAUGUAGAGGUGAAAUUCGUAGAUAUUAGCAGGAACACCGGUGGCGAAGGCGGCUAUCUGGACGACAACUGACGCUGAGGCGCGAAAGCGUGGGGAUCAAACAGGAUUAGAUACCCUGGUAGUCCACGCUGUAAACGAUGGGUGCUAGCUGUUCGGGGGUUACCCCUGAGUAGCGCAGCUAACGCGUUAAGCACCCCGCCUGGGGAGUACGGUCGCAAGAUUA
rnacentral:rRNA from 1 species